rnacentral:lncRNA from 1 species
AUGCGAUGCAAAGGCCGACGGAGAAGAAAAAAGGUGAGCCUGGAUGGACCUAGAAAAACCUCCAAAACAGCUUCUGCACCAGGUGUCUUUCAAGGCAUUUCAAGACCCAAUAAAGUUGCAUGUCCUUUUGAGCAGAUGCCUGGCUUGAAAAACUCAUGCACCUUCAGGAGUGAAACCUUACGUUCGAGAUGUAAAAGUUGGAUAGGGGGGAUUUCUUUUCCUUUUCCCUCUGGCUUUCUGAAGGCCCACGCGGCUCCUGCCGAGCGCGCUGUGCCCUCGGACGGCACCGCCGUGAGACAGCAGCAGCAAGCGGGUCUGGCGUCCCGCGCGACGACGGCUCUGCUCGCGCGCCGCGCGAAGGUCGCUCGUCCCCCAACACAAACACGCGGGCUAUGCUCUCCUGCCUUGUUUUGCCCCAGAAACGCUCUGAAGUCACCAGAGCUGCUCCCGGGGAGAAACGAGCUCUGCGGCGCUCGCGUUCGGCUGCUGAGAUACGGGGAAGGCGCUGCACAGCAAGCUGCGCUUGAGGGAGGCGCGUGCAAGACAGAGCGGUCGAUCUGGAGGCCAGAAGAUCCUGCGGCCUGUCAAACCGCAGCUGGGCUGCCGCAGGGCACCGGGUCUGUCGGGAGGCUGGUAGGUCAAGCUGGCUUAGCCCUGCCAAGCCGAGUCGGGGGGCUGCUGCAAAUUCGGCUUAUGUUCUCGGAGGGAGGGAGGGCGGCGCUGCUGUUUCGGCAGGGAUCCCCCUGGUUUCAUCAAGCCUGUUGAUUAGGGCAGUAAAGUUUAAAAAAAUUUAAAAAAUGAAGAAAGAAAAAGGGGGACAGAAAGGAAGAAGGGACUAGGGUAGCCAGCCGCACCUAUGACAGGAAGCAUUGCAAAAAUGCACGCGUCUCCUGCGCUCGUACUUGCAGGGCAGACACGCAUGAGUUGUCUCUUGCUUACCCGCAGCCAGGAGAGACAAGACUCCCGACUUGGUGUAAAAACCCCUGCUGGCAUGUGUGGCCUUUUUUUCCCCUUUUUCUUUUAAAGACCCAGUUUGCCGGGCCUGCAGUCACUUUCCUGUGCACGGGGAAGAGCGGGGUCGGUGGCAGUGGUGGAGCCCUGGCCGGGGGGUCACCUCAUCCAGCUGACGCCGGUGACGCUGCAUCCUCCUUCGGCGAACUAUGAGGGGUGCAAAACAUGGGGGCGUCUCUUCCGGCGGGGCACGAGCAGCUGAGCGGCCCUGAGCUCGGGGGGCAGCAGUGUUUUGCACCAGCUGAGAGGGCGCGCGCGCUCCUGCUCCGCACCGGCAAAAGAAUUUGCCACACAAGAGGGGGGAAAAAAAGCAACACCCAGCGUUAAUAAACAUGCAGACUUAAAACA